UUUACGAGCCGCUUGAAGGUAAAGCAAGAUAUACUUGAAUAGUUGAAAAGUGCAGACGAAAAAGUAUUUCGACCCGAGAAACAAUUAACAGUGCUAAAAAUGAGUUCCUGUUUAAUUUUUUAUAUUUUAUUAAGCAGUGUCAUUUGUUUUUCUUCGAGUCAGUCUGAACCUCAAUCGAAGAAUGAAAAUUUGUUCAUUGGCAAGUAUCCAAUUCAAGGCAAGACACCUGGACCAAUUGAUAUCGAAACUUCUGAAGUGAAAAAUGCACAUUUGUCACCGAUAAAAGUUACAAGAACUCGAGGCGAUCAUGUAAAAAUGAUCAAUAAUGGAGUAGCAAUUGAAGGAAUAGCAGACCCGGGGGGGAAUGCAGUCUUGACCGGAGGUCCUUUCUUUCACAAAAAAUACCAGUAUUAUAAAAUCAGAUAUUAUUGGUCAGGAAAUUCCAGUGGACCUGCAGCUACUACCGUGAACGGAAAAAAUGGAACUCCAAUAGAAGCGUUGGCCAUUUACUACAAUGAAGAGUAUGGAUCAUUUGAAAAUGCCUUGAAUCAUCGCGAUGGGUUGGCAAUGCUCUCUGCACGAAUACGAGUGACUUCAAAACCAAACCAAGAAUUUACUCCUUUUUCCAAAACACUGGAAAAAAUAGUAAAACCUGGAUCUUCGGCGGAAAUGAAGAAAAAAUACACGUUUAAUUGGUUCGAUAAAUUUCAUCCAAAUGAUACUUCAUAUUUUGCUUACCCUAGUUCAUACACGGAUCAAUUGUCAGGAAAAAAGUAUUACUGCUCCACUGUUUGUAUACUUCGACCCAUAAUUGCCUCAAUUUCUGAAAAACAAUUCCACGAAUCUUUUGGACAGCUGAAGAAUUCGCGAGGAGGACGCUUGACUAAUUCCGCCAAGCAAUCCCCCUCCGAUGGAAGACCAAUAGUUCAAAGUUCCGGAUUUAUUCAAAACGCGAAAGGUUGAAAAAAACCUGGUUUAUCGAUGGGUCUACUUCUGAGCACCCGUGAAGAAAUUAAACUCAUACGACGAUGAUGAUCACAAGCAUCAUGGAAAUCAAGGUCAUCCUCCACAUCACGGUAACCAAGGUCAUCCUCCACAUCAUGGACACCAAGGUCAUCAUCACAGCAAUAAUGGUGGCAAUUCAGGUGUGCCUCCCAAUGCUCCACCUACCAAACUUUCUCCCGGUACUCCGAACUAUCAAUUUUAUAACGGAGGUACUCAAUUCAGUUAUAAUGGAAUGCUCUUACCGAAUCACGAAUACCAUUUAUGUUGAUAAAGUGAUGUAAUGUAAUAUUAUUUGUAAUAUUUUGAAAAAUCAGUUUACGUCGACGAUAAUACCUAUUCGAUUAUUUGUAAACUGUCCUUACUUAAAUAAAUUAAAUGUUAACUGUAUGAA